GCUCGGCCCUGCCUCACAGCCCACGAAGUUCCACCUCCUCACAGGUUGGCUGGCUCAGCUGAGGUGGUGCCCCUGCUCUGAGCCAUGUGCGGGCCAAGUUCACCUCGAGCCAUGGCCAGAUACAGAUGCUGCUGCAGCCCAAGCCAGAGCAGAGGCUACCGUAGACGCAGCCACAGACCAAGGAGGCAAUGCCAUCCCAGACGGAGACAAAGGUGCAGCCGCCGUGGGUACACCCGGAGGGCCAGAAGACGCUAACUGCAGAAGAGCGAGGCCUCCGAACUCCUGCUGAAGACUUUGCCAGACCUCAAGACCGUCUUGCCACCUCUGACAAUGCCACCCUGCACUGAUACAGGAGCCUGCUAAGGAACAAUGCCGCCUGUCAAUAAAUGUCAAACUCAUCCCA